ACACAUGCAAGUCGAGCGAGAAAGUAUCUUCGGAUAUGAGUAGAGCGGCGGACGGGUGAGUAACGCGUAGGAAUCUACCUAGUAGAAGGGGAUAGCCCGGGGAAACUCGGAUUAAUACCGUAUACCUCCUAAGGGAGAAAGAGGGCCUCUCUUGAUGCUCUCGCUAUUAGAUGAGCCUGCGUAAGAUUAGCUUGUUGGUAAGGUAAUGGCUUACCAAGGCUACGAUCUUUAGCUGGUCUGAGAGGACGAUCAGCCACAUUGGGACUGAGACACGGCCCAGACUCCUACGGGAGGCAGCAGUGGGGAAUAUUGGACAAUGGGCGCAAGCCUGAUCCAGCCAUACCGCGUGUGUGAAGAAGGCCUUCGGGUUGUAAAGCACUUUAAGCAGGGAGAAAAAGUUAUAAGUUAAUACCUUAUAAC
rnacentral:rRNA from 1 species